rnacentral:rRNA from 1 species
GCACAAGCGGUGGAUGAUGUGGAUUAAUUCGAUGCAACGCGAAAAACCUUACCUACCCUUGACAUGUCUGGAAUCCCGAAGAGAUUUGGGAGUGCUCGCAAGAGAACCGGAACACAGGUGCUGCAUGGCUGUCGUCAGCUCGUGUCGUGAGAUGUUGGGUUAAGUCCCGCAACGAGCGCAACCCUUGUCAUUAGUUGCUACGAAAGGGCACUCUAAUGAGACUGCCGGUGACAAACCGGAGGAAGGUGGGGAUGACGUCAAGUCCUCAUGGCCCUUAUGGGUAGGGCUUCACACGUCAUACAAUGGUCGGGACAGAGGGUCGCCAACCCGCGAGGGGGAGCCAAUCCCAGAAACCCGAUCGUAGUCCGGAUUGUAGUCUGCAACUCGACUACAUGAAGUCGGAAUCGCUAGUAAUCGCGGAUCAGCAUGUCGCGGUGAAUACGUUCCCGGGUCUU